rnacentral:rRNA from 1 species
ACAGCAGCCGCCGCGGUAAUACGUAGGGUGCAAGCGUUAAUCGGAAUUACUGGGCGUAAAGCGUGCGCAGGCGGUUAUAUAAGACAGAUGUGAAAUCCCCGGGCUCAACCUGGGAACUGCAUUUGUGACUGUAUAGCUAGAGUACGGCAGAGGGGGAUGGAAUUCCGCGUGUAGCAGUGAAAUGCGUAGAUAUGCGAGGAACACCGAUGGCGAAGGCAAUCCCCUGGGCCUGUACUGACGCUCAUGCACGAAAGCGUGGGGAGCAAACAGGAUUAGAUACCCCUGUAGUCCCUGUCUCUUAUACA